GGAAAAGUGGUUGACUUUUGUGUAUGUGUGAGUCAACCAUAUUUUUUACUUAAUUGCAAAUUACUGAAUUCUCUUUUGAAUGAUAACUAUGUGUGAACCUCACUUUGUGUUUCAAACCUUAGGUGUUUAACUAAAGUAAGUGCUAGCCUAUGUGUUUGGAUACCUGGGUAGAGGGCUGCCUAGGAAGUAAUCGUAAUCCUUUUGGUUCCAAGUCUGAACUAGUCUAGGGAAGGGAAGAGAAAGUACUGAUUGAAAGCCUGCUGGUCUCUGUGGAGUUACCUAUAUUGCCGGAGCAGAGAGCAGUCCCCAAAAUCUAAUGGGAAGCAUUCAGAGGUAUGGUGAAUCAGAGUUAUGGAAGGCAAAUUUUGAAAGAUUAAUUAAGUGGCAAGGGAAAAGUCCUCUUUCUUGCAAGCAGUUUAAAACUGAGGAAUACAGGAGUUCCCUGGUUGCCUAAUGGUUAGGAUCCCAGGCUUUCACUACUGGUCCAGGAACUGAGAUUCUGCAAGCUGUGUUGCAUGGCCAAAAACAGACCAAAAAAAACCAAAACAAAACUGGGCAGUACAAGUAACACAAACAUGUUUUCAGCAGUCUUAAUUCUCUCUUUUCAGACCAUAAUCAGUCUUUUGUAGCAACUUCCUUCCUUCUCUUAAAAAAAUCUAAAAGGCACUGGGUAGUGCCAUGGAUUGGAGAGAGAGUGUGUGUGUGUGUGUGUGUGUGUGUGUGUGUGUGUGUGUGUUGGGGAAGGUAGCAAAAACAAAGAUCCUGAAGGGGGUAAUUUUAUCCCCUUCAGGAAUGAAGACCUCAAUCUCCCCUAAUGCUGGGAGUGCUGCUGCCAAUCCGUCCUGUCCUCAGCUGUCAGUCUGCCUCAGAAAGUAACUCAACCCAAAAGAGCUGCUUUGCUCAGACUUAUACCUCUCUUCCCAAACAGCCUGGAUUCAAAUGUCUAGUUGUGGCAUGUAAAGGCCCAGCAGCCUUGCCCCAAUUCUGAAGGACCCCUCAGGGCCAGAAUUAACCCUGGGGAAUUGAGCAAAUCCCCUCAAUUUUCUCAUCUGGAAAACAGAAAUAAUAAAAC
ensembl:lncRNA